rnacentral:lncRNA from 1 species
CUUUGUUGUAAUAUGAACGUUGUUGAAGACGAAUAUCAUUUUGUUUUAGUUUGUCCUGUAUACAGACCUGUAAGGUCACAUUAUUUACCAAAAUACUUUUGUUCUUGGCCAAAUAUUUAUAAACUGGAUCAAUUGUUAAAAGCUGUCAAUAAAACUGUAACUAUAAAAUUAUGUAAUUAUAUUAAGGCAGCAUGGAAAAUGAGAUGUCAAAUUCUUACUUAACUUUGUAUGAUGUGUUGUUUUC